UGGGGAAUAUUGGUCAAUGGGCGCAAGCCUGAUCCAGCCAUGCCGCGUGAGUGAUGAAGGCCCUAGGGUUGUAAAGCUCUUUCACCGGUGAAGAUAAUGACGGUAACCGGAGAAGAAGCCCCGGCUAACUUCGUGCCAGCAGCCGCGGUAAUACGAAGGGGGCUAGCGUUGUUCGGAUUUACUGGGCGUAAAGCGCACGUAGGCGGACUAUUAAGUCAGGGGUGAAAUCCCGGGGCUCAACCCCGGAACUGCCUUUGAUACUGGUAGUCUUGAGUUCGAGAGAGGUGAGUGGAAUUCCGAGUGUAGAGGUGAAAUUCGUAGAUAUUCGGAGGAACACCAGUGGCGAAGGCGGCUCACUGGCUCGAUACUGACGCUGAGGUGCGAAAGCGUGGGGAGCAAACAGG
rnacentral:rRNA from 1 species